rnacentral:rRNA from 1 species
GACGUCGAUGUCGAUUGGAGGUUGUGCCCUUGAGGCGUGGCUUCCGGAGCUAACGCGUUAAAUCGACCGCCUGGGGAGUACGGCCGCAAGGUUAAAACUCAAAUGAAUUGACGGGGGCCCGCACAAGCGGUGGAGCAUGUGGUUUAAUUCGAUGCAACGCGAAGAACCUUACCUACUCUUGACAUCCAGAGAACUUUCCAGAGAUGGUUUGGUGCCUUCGGGAACUCUGAGACAGGUGCUGCAUGGCUGUCGUCAGCUCGUGUUGUGAAAUGUUGGGUUAAGUCCCGCAACGAGCGCAACCCUUAUCCUUUGUUGCCAGCGGUUCGGCCGGGAACUCAAAGGAGACUGCCAGUGAUAAACUGGAGGAAGGUGGGGAUGACGUCAAGUCAUCAUGGCCCUUACGAGUAGGGCUACACACGUGCUACAAUGGCGUAUACAAAGAGAAGCGACCUCGCGAGAGCAAGCGGACCUCAUAAAGUACGUCGUAGUCCGGAUUGGAGUCUGCAACUCGACUCCAUGAAGUCGGAAUCGCUAGUAAUCGUAGAUCAGAAUGCUACGGUGAAUACGUUCCCGGGCCUUGUACACACCGCCCGUCACACCAUGGGAGUGGGUUGCAAAAGAAGUAGGUAGCUUAACCUUCGGGAGGGCGCUUACCACUUUGUGAUUCAUGACUGGGGUGAAGUCUAAAAGGGGGGAAAAAAAA